UAAGAAAAUAGUAAAGCAUUAUUAUUAAAUAUUAUUAAUUAUUAUUAUUAUUAUUUAUUUAAUAAAACUUGGAUGAGAUUGGGAACUGAGCUUUCACUGGCUCGAACGGUGGCGACGGGUGCGAGAGCGCGGAGGCGGGCGAGCGAGGCGGGACGGCGCGAGCUGGUCUAUGGGGCGGAGUGCGCGCGCAGGGCGCGGGCUCGGGCGGCGGGGGACGGGCGGUCCUAGCGGCAUGGUGGCGUGCAGGCUGUGGGGCUGCGAACGGGCGCGGAUGGGGCGAGCCGCCGCUGGAUGGGCGCGAGCCGAAAAAAAAAAAAAAAAAAGAAAAGCUACAGUGCAAAAAUCGGGGUCAUUCCCUUUUUGCACGCGGUCACGAGGUGCAGCAUCACCUCGUGGUCGCAUGGUUCAUGCUCUCUCUCCCUCUUUGAGAUUAUAUAUUAUUAUAGAGAGAGAGGGAAAGAGAGUUAUGGCUGCUGUGCUCAUUAGAUCUUGAGCGUUUUUCGGAUUAUGAAAUUUUCGAGAUCAAAGUCUCGCUCGUUAGAUGUGAUAUAGGAUAUUUAAAGUUUAUAGAAAUAAUUUUUAUAAUUUUUUUUUGAUAUUAUUUAUACAUAUGAUCGCAAAGGGAUUUAAAAUUAAUAUUUUAAUAGUUGAUAUCUGCCGUUUUCAAGUUACGUUGUUUAGAAGUAGUUCAAAUCAAUAAAAUUUUGAUACAAAUUUUUUAUAUUAUUAGCAAUAAGAUCAAUAUUUCUGAUAGAAAAUAUUUAGUACUGAUAAAUUACAUUUUUAUAGGAUUUUUAUUUCUCGGCGAUUAACAAAUUAUUAAUUUGAGAUCUUUCGAUUGUUAAGGUAAUGUAUCGAAGAAUCGCAAAAAUUAUUUUCUACAAACUUCAAAUAACGCUAAUCCAGUCUAACGGAGCCGAUCGUCGAUCAGAAAUUCGUACUAAUUCGAAAACGGAUGGAGCACGAAGGCUCGUGCCUCCUGAAAGCACAACAGUUUGCUAAUAUAUAUAUAUAUAUUAUAUAUAUACUAUUUAUAUAUAUUUUUAAAUAUUAAUUAUAUAUACUAACUUUAAUAUUUUUAUUAUCUUAAAUAUUAAUAAUUUAUUUUGGAAUCAACAAAGAUAGUAUUUUACUUUAAUUAAUUUUUCUUAUUUUUUUAUUUGUAAAUUUACACAUGAUAUAAAUAAAAAAAUAUUAUGUAUUUUUUAAUAUUUAAAUGGAUUUUUAUUUAUUUUAAACUGUUUAUUUAUUUUGAGACCCACUUCUAUCUCUCUUUCUUUAUUUGAUUUUUGUUCUUUUCUAAACCUUCUUAAUUUUAGCAGUGUUAUGGCACAUACAAAAAAUAAAUUUAAAUUAAAAUUUAAAUUUAUGAUUAAUGGAAUUUUGGAAUUUAUUGCUUAGCUUCUAUAUUAUUUAGUUAGUAUUUUUAUCGUUAAUUAUUGCUAAUUAAAUAUUAUAUUUUAAAAACAUUUUGUAGUGUUUUUAUAAUAAGUUUAUAAAUGAUAAUAAUAAUAAUAAUAAUAAUAAUAAUAAUAAUAAUGCUUUACUAUUUUCUUAUAUUUAAUUAAAUGUCCUUGUCCCUUUUGAACUACUCGACUUGGCUUAUAAGCAGUAGUUCCAGAGACUUGUUGUGGUUUGACCUUAGAUGCUUUGUCGCGGUCGCCCUCCAUUAAAUUGAUGAGUGGUCGACAAGGACUUCUGACCCCAUGUGAAUUUAGUAUCUUGUACUCGACUAGUUAGCUUUUUUAUUAGAUGCCGAGAGUAAUUUUCCAAAUUACUUUUCAAUUUAACGUACACGGAAAAGCUUUUGGCGCCCAUAUCCGAAUUCGCUGAAUUGGCAUAGGGCGUGAUUGGUUCCUCUAAAAUCACCUCUAAAAUUUUUUUUCGGUUGGAAAGUGAGAUUCCGAUGUUUGGUGGCUCGUCCGGAAAUUUUUUUUUACGGAUUCUUAGGAAAAGCAUGGUUUUCGUUUUCUAUUCGAAUCUAGCGGAAAACGAAAACGCACGGCGUUGCGCGGCGUAACGCCGCGCGGAGAAAAAGCACGGUCCACCAGGUCCGCUCCACCUCGUGGACUGCAUGAGGAAGGUCCAUGAUGGACCUUGUGCGCGGCUUUGCGCGCGCUUCGCGGGAGUAAAAAGGCGCAGUCCACGAGGUCCACUCCACCUCGUGGACCGCGUGAGGAGAGGUCCAUGAUGGACAUCUCUUUCUGCCCCUCUUAUAUAUAUAUAUAGAGAGAGAGAGAGAAAGAGUUGAGUUAGAAUACUCUCAAAAGCACUAAGAGAUUGGUGUUUUUGAGUUUUUAAUCAUUGGAUGGAGAGAUGUGAGGUUGGGAUGAUGGCGGUAGGUGAUGGUAGGUGAAAUAGUGUUUGAUCUAAAGGUUAUUAGUAAUUAAGAAGUGGAUCUGAGAGUUAAAAACUUAGAAGUACUAAGGGGUUGGUGAUUCUAAAAAUAUUUUAGCUCAAUUCUAUAUGUAUAUAUUAUUUAUAAGUAUUGUUUACAAAUUUAUUUUAUAGUAUUAUAUAUAUAUAUAUAUAUAUUUAAUAUAUACGCUAUUAUAUUAUAGAAUAAUUUCAUAGAUCCCUUCUAGAUACUCUAUUAAUUCACCAAUACCCUUCUUAAAAUUGAUAAACACAAAUACCCACCCUCCAAUAUGUUUUAAAAUAUCAUAAAUCCUCCUCAUCAGUUAAAAUCCGUUAAAUAAUCCAUCUGAAAAGAUUUAAAUUUUCAAAUCCAUUUUUCUUACUCCUUUAUUCCUUAUUAAUAGUAGAGGAAUACUAAUAUGUAUUUUCAAGAUAUUAUUGUAAAUCUAAAUUGAAUGUAUAUUAAUAUAUACAUAUUAAAAUAAAUUAUUAAUAUAUAUUUAAUUAUUAAAAAAAUAUAAAAAAUUAUAUUAUUAAUAUAGUAUGUUUUUAUCUGAUUUUGUUUUGUUUUUAAGUUUUGGAAUUUCGUCAGGUUUCAGUAGUAAUAGUAAUUUUGAAUAAAUUAUAAGAUUUUUUUUUUCCUAUUUAAUCAAAAGUAAAUCACCAUAACUAUUAUCAAGCAUUGUUCCGUGAUUGAAACAAAAAGAAGUUUUGUCAAAAAAGCUAAAUAUAUAUUUAUAUUAGUUUUUUAAUUGAUUUAAUGCAGAUAAAAUUAUCCAAUAUUUGAUUAAAAAAAAUUUUAAGCUUCAACAUUAAAGAAAUAUCGGAUAAUUUCCAUAACAUAUUUUAUUAAAUUUUAUAUAUUAAUUAUUUAUUCGACAAAUAUAAAUAAGCCACUAAUUGUUAAAAUUAUCAAAAAAACUACAAACUCUCAUUUUUCAUACACUGAAAUUAGUUAUAUCUUUUAAAAAACUAAAAGCUAAUGGGAAUAUUCAAACUGAAAAAAAAAAAUAAAGUUAAGAGCCAUAUUUGAAAAUGGCAUAUAGUUGAGGGGUCUCCAUACAUUUUAACUUAAGAAAAUACUUAGGGUAAAUAAGUCAUUUAAAAUUAACCUUAUUUUAAACAUUAAUAUCUAUGGUAAAGCUAACAUAACUAAUAUAAGGUGGUAUUGAUAUAAUUUUUGUGUUUAAAGGAAAUGGGUGAUAUUUUAAAUUUUAUAGGGGCAUCUAUGAUAUUUUAGACUUUGGGAGGGGUAUCCAUGAAAUUGCCCCAUUAUUAUAUUAUAUACUUAUUGUAUAAUAUAUUUUAAAUAUAUUUUAUUUACAAAUAUAAAUUAUAAUAUUAAUAUAUAAUAAUAUAUAAAAUAAAAAAAAUAUAUAUAUAUAUAAUAAUUUUUUAUUUAUAAUUAAUUUUUUCUUUCUUUUUCUUUCUUUUCCUUUCAACCAAACAACCGUAAUAGAAAAUUACUUUUUUUUCCUACAAACCAAAUACUAAGAGCGUAAAAUUAUUUUCCUCUGAAAACUUUUUUUCUACCGAAAAUUUUUUUUUCUGCAGUUUUACGAGGAAGCAAACAACCCCAUACCCAUAGAAUAUUAUUACUGUGAGAGUGCGUUUGGUUCGCGUGGUAUAACAUUAUGAAUUAUUUCGUCAUAAUUAAGUAUCUGAAAAUUUUGAAUCAGAUUACUAUUAGUACUGUAUUAUAGUCUUUGGUUUAAGGCAGUAAUAUAAUACUGGAUUGGAGUGUAUAUAAAAUUACUAUAUUUAAUUUGGUUUAUAAAAUUUAAUAAUUUUAAUAAUAAAAUAUAAUCAUCAUACAGUCUGUUCCUAGCGCAAGUAGCAAAUGACUUGAUGAUUGGCACCUAAGGUUCCAAACUUGAAUUUUUAUUGAUUCACAUUUUUAGCUAAAUUUAUUAUUUUAAAAAAUAAAUGAGCUACCCUUCUACCCUUCUCUCUCAAAAACAAAAUAUAGUCAUCCUACAAAAAGGACAUAAAUAUAGACAUCUACAAAAAGGACAUAUUGAAGGAGUUUAAGAGAGAUUGGAGGAAUAAAUUUAUAAUUUUAUGUAAUAUACAGUAAUCUAGUAUCAUUUUUAAGAUUACACUACCGACCAGAUUACAGACUGAACAAACCAAAUGCAAUAAUUUUGAUAGAAUUACUUAUAAUUAUGCAGGAUAAACUGAACCAAACACGCCCUAGGAUAAUCUUACACUGUGAUGCACCUUACUUUUUCUUAAAAAAAAAAACUUAGUAGUUACCCAACUAGCACCAUAUUCAGUUGUUCGUGAGGUUUAAAUUUUUUCAACCCUUAUCGUCUGUUCCUCCUGUAAGUGGCAAAGAGUUUAGAGGUUGGUAUCCGAAAUCUCAAGUUUAAAUCAUGGUUGAUUUACAUUUCCAAUUAAAUUUAUUUUUUUAAAACGAAACAAGUAACAUGCUAUUUUUCUCUCUCAAAAAAAAAAAGAGAAAGAGUUCAACCCUUUUUCAAAAACUCUUUGUUCUCGUAAGCAAGCUCUACUCUUGAUAGAAUACCUAAAUAUUUUUUCUUUCUUCAGACAAACGAAAAAAAAACAAAAGAAAAAAGGCAUUGAAAGUAGUGGGUUUACUUAACUUGCUCACCGAUCGACCAAACACAAACCUACUGAAACCGACCCAGCAUGACCGCAACAGGAGAUGGGCGAACCCGACACGCCACUCUGGUCUGGGUCCGGCCCACUCCCACCACCCUACCUAUGAUAUGAUUGUAGUUAAAUAUUUUUUUUUUUUUUUUUUUUAAAACAAACAUAUGUUGCUGCUGUGGACGUUACAACACAGAUCAGUAAUCUGAGAUGGAAACGAGUCAACCGAAAAAACAGCUUCUCUCCUAAACUCUUUUAUUAAGUUAUUGUAUAGCCUUGCUUCUAGCUUUCUUUGCUUUUACUUCACUGUUUCAGCUAUUACUAGAGUUAGACGAUUUUUAAUAAAAAAUAAAAUAACUAGACUUUAAACUUAAAAUUUUGAAUACCAACUAUUAAAUUUUUGUUGCUGUAGAGUUGGAGGCGUUUUUGAAACCAUAAUUCAAACAACAAUACAAGUGCACUGGCUCAUCGCGCCCGCGUAUAUAUACUCUUAUGCCUGGUCUGGUAAUACAAUAGCUAAAAAUAUCUACUUUUAUAGUUUAAAAGACUCCACAAGAUUUAAAAGAUUGUAAUCUUUCCUCCUGCAAUACAUAAUUUUUUAAUUUUUAUUUUUUAAAUGUAAAAGCAGAUAAUCGAAAAAAACUUAAUCCCAAACUAAGCAGGUGAUUUUUCAUAAUAUAUAAGUGGGCCCUACAUGCAACAUUAAAUGUAUGCAAUUAAUAAUUAAUUAAUAUAUGGACCUCAAUGAUUCAAAACCACUCCCACCUUCUCUCACUGCUCCAAGGUACCAAAAUUGCAUUAAAUAAUGACGCCAAAAAGUACCAGAAUAAAUGCUUCUUUUUUUAAAAAAAAGAAAAGGCCAAAAUUUCAAAUUCUAAAUUGAUUGGUGAUUCCCGUGACCGUAGUCAAGUAAGAUAUAUUUAUUAAUUAAUUAAUUAAUUCAAAAUAUCUGAAAAAAAUCCAAUCAAAACUAUACAAAUAGUAAAAACUAAUGGUAAGAAAAAGUAGGAAUGUGCUUCGAAUUUAAAAUCGUUUCAAAAUCCAAAGAAUCUCAUCUCAUCCCCUCCACAUUUCCCAGAUCUCGAUCCGGGAACCAAACCCCUAGAUUUCGCCCCGUCGCCCCCAAUCCCGGGGCACAGAAACCCUAAAUCUUAGUGAAAUUGAGCACGGAUCGGGAGGAGGAGGGUGGGGCUUACGAUUACAUGGGGGGCGGAGCGUGGGCGAGGCCAUGGGCGGAGGGGUCGAGGUGGAGCGCGUCCUUGAUCUUGUGGAAGCCAUGGGCGAAGACGCCGAAGCCGAAGACGAAGCCCACGAGGAUGAUGCCGACGACGACGAGGAGGCAGAGGCAACACGAUCGGCUCGGGAAGCAGCACAUCUCCACCGUCCGCUCGAUCUCCCCCACCUCCGCCCAGCACGAAUCACGACGCGCACGAAGAGAGAGAGAGAGAGAGCGAGAGAGAGAGAGGGAGAGAGAGAAUAUUCGUUGUAUCGG
rnacentral:lncRNA from 1 species